rnacentral:rRNA from 1 species
GAUGAACGCUGGCGGCGUGCCUAAUACAUGCCAGUCGAGCGAACAGACGAGGAGCUUGCUCCUCUGACGUUAGCGGCGGACGGGUGAGUAACACGUAGAUAACCUACCUAUAAGACUGGGAUAACUUCGGGAAACCGGAGCUAAUACCGGAUAAUAUAUUGAACCGCAUGGUUCAAUAGUGAAAGACGGUUUUGCUGUCACUUAUAGAUGGAUCCGCGCCGCAUUAGCUAGUUGGUAAGGUAACGGCUUACCAAGGCAACGAUGCGUAGCCGACCUGAGAGGGUGAUCGGCCACACUGGAGCUGAGACACGGUCCAGACUCCUACGGGAGGCAGCAGUAGGGAAUCUUCCGCAAUGGGCGAAAGCCUGACGGAGCAACGCCGCGUGAGUGAUGAAGGUCUUCGGAUCGUAAAACUCUGUUAUUAGGGAAGAACAAAUGUGUAAGUAACUAUGCACGUCUUGACGGUACCUAAUCAGAAAGCCACGGCUAACUACGUG